rnacentral:rRNA from 1 species
GACCUCAAAUCAGGUAGGACUACCCGCUGACUA